GGCAGGGUUUCCAGGCUCCAGCUGGGACCAGGCUGAGAAGGGCAGGGUUGCUCUGCGGUGCGGGGUCGGGGUGUCUGGGUGGGGAGGAAGACCUGCAGGAGAGAGAAUGUCCACCCGGGGGCGCCAAACGUCCUUCCACAGAGUUCGCCAGACGCUGAGACCCGUGAGUGGAUGAAACCGACUCAGACCCUAGCGGAGGCUGAAAAGGAGCCAGAGCCGAGGAAGGAGAGGGGAUCGAGGACAGAAGAAUCCAGAACACGAGAUGGGGGAGGGGAGGAAAUGGAGGACGAGUGAGACCGUGGGCUCCCCGCCGGAGUUUCCCCUUUGAAGCCUCUCCCGCCCUCGGCCCCGCUGCCUCCUGGCUCCUGCAGGCCCGGCCCGUGGCCUGCGCUGCGCCCGCCUGCGGGACCCUCAGCCCAGCAGGAGAAGAAAGUCAGCACACGACCAGGCAGGAGGCCACAGCUACCGUUUCUCCAGGAUCAGCUGUAUUUAUUGUCAAAAAGGCAGACAGACUUGGUAUGCAACCAGCCAGUUUAAGGGUUCUCGGACUUGCUCCAUUCCAUAUAUCAUUACUUCAUUAUUUAUGAAUUUCUUGACCUUCUCUGUGAGGAAUUCAGCAACCAUACCCCCUAGAACUUCCAUGGUCUUGUGCUUCUUCAGUGAAAGAAGUAAAGCCCUGGGGAAAACUUCAAGUGCUUCUGCUCCUUUCAGUCCACGCCCAGAAUUUAUUUUCUCUGACAGAAGUCAGGGGGUGAAGUCACUGGCCAGUGAGUGUGUGACAGGGAACAUGGCGCCACUUGAGGGAAGAGGUGAGUUCACGCCCACUUGUUUGCCGCCAUGAUGACUAAUCCUAAAAGUUCGGGGAGGAUUCAGUGUAUAAGUCAAAGUCAAUAGUAUAUGUCACAUUGCAGUUGAAAAUGUAUUGGUUAUUUUAAAAUCUCUUUUGAUACUGAUUUCUAACAUGAUUCAACAGUGAUAAGAGAAUGGACUGUGUAUGGUUUUAAUACCUUUAGACCAUGACAUUUUUGUACCUUGCUUUAUGUCCCUGCAUGUGUUCCAGUGUCUCCUAGUUUAUGAGAACUUGAAGAGAAUUUAUAUCCUACUGUUGUGUGAAAAUCAUGUAAGUCUUAAUUAUGUUGAAUCGGUUCCUUGUGCUUGUCAGGGCUACUAUACCCUCUACGUCUCUGAAUAUUCGUUUGAUGAUACUCCAAAAAAGGAUAUUUAUCUAUUCAAAAUAUAAUUAUAAUAUACAGUGGAAAUACAUGUAACCUUCUUCUCUAUUUUUGACCAAGAUUUAAAUAUAAAGCUAGGGUAGUUCUAGUAACACAAAACAGAUUUAAAUAUAAAGCUCGGGUAGUUCUAGUAACACAGUUCAGUUCAGUUCAGUCGCUCAGUCGUGUCCGACUCUUUGCGACCCCAUGAAUCGCAGCACACCAGGCCUCCCUGUCCAUCACCAACUCCCAGAGUUCACUCAGACUCACGUCCAUCGAGUCAGUGAUGCCAUCCAGCCAUCUCAUCCUCUGUCGUCCCCUUCUCCUCCUGCCUCCAAUCCCUCCCAGCGUCAGAGUCUUUUCCAAUGAGUUAACUCUUCUCGUGAGGUGGCCAAAGUACUGGAGUUUCAGCUUCAGCAUCAUUCCCUCCAGAGAAAUCCCAGGGCUGGUCUCCUUCAGAAUGGACUGGAGAUUUAAAUGUAAAGCUGGGGUAGUUCUGGUAACACAAAGCAGAAGCAUUUACAGAUCUGUUUUGUGUUUCUCGAACUACCCAUGGAGAAGGAAAUGGCAACCCACUCCAAUGUUCUUGCCUGGAGAAUCCCAGGAAAGGGGGAGCCUGGUGGGCUACCGUCUCUGGGGUUGCACAGAGUCAAACACGACUGAAGCGACUUAGCCUUGCAGAACUACCCUAGCUUUACAUUUAAAUCUGUUUUGUGUUACUGGAAGUACCCUAGCUUUACACUGACAGAUCUGCUUUGAGACACCAGAACUGCCCUAGCUUUGCACUGAGAGAUCUGCUUUGUGGCACCGGAACUGCCCUAGCUUUACAUUAAUUCUUGGUGAAACACAUUUAAGAGCACAGUAAGAAAUGCAGGGUCUUGUUGGAGAUUGCGAGUGAAAUGACACAAAGACAAGACACACAAGAGACAGACAAAGACACAACUCCGGCCAGAGGAAAAAAGAACUGCGCAAACAAGCUUGCGAUUAUUUUUGUAAAGCCCCCUUGGCAGAAUUCCAGACUGCAUGACUAAACCUUUUCAGUACAGCUCAUGUGCAUACAUGUUAUCCUACAGCAAAGGGAGUGAAAGUCCUGCUUACUGCAGAGUCUGUCCAGAGCCCUUUCUUCCUAAUUAUCACAAGAAGGGAAUGUUCCCUCGUUUGCAAGGGACCAUUAAACUCAAGGCUGUGUCCAGUCUCUGGCAGAACAUCUUGUUUGCAAGCACGUUCAGCCCAAGCAGAGAGCCCCCUUUGCAGGCACAUCUCCGCUUUCCCUAUUGUGGCCGCAUUAACUUCCUUCAGGGGCUAACUGGAGACUUCCUGAACUGGGGAUUUCCAACUGCCCUUUAGAAAUUUUAUCAGCUCUAAAAAGACUUUGUCAAAAAAAAGUGGAGCAUUUUUCUCUGACUGGAGAAUUCAACUGCGCUUUAGAAAUGUUAUGUGCUUUGUCAAAAAAAGUGGAGGAUUAUUGCUCAUGCAGAGCAAAUAAAUUCAGGACGUGGACUGAAAGGAACAGACACACUCACACAAGCUCCCUUUUCAGGCAUGGAGAGAUUGAUUUCUUUAACCAAGACGGAGCUAAUGGAAAGUCUUCAAGAUACACUUGCUGAUAUUCUCACAGAGAAAGCAAGUGAAUUUGUAGAAGAUCAAUUACAAGUAUACAGAAUGGAGCAGGCCUGGACGCCCUUCACAUGGCUGCUGAAACCCGUAGUAAAAGGUCUGAUGAGAUGGGCCCUAGAAAAGAUAGGUUCCAUGGCAUGGAGCCAGCUGGGCCUGAGUUCUUUACAGAAUAAGAUCUUGUAUAUAUUUAAGGCGAUGUUUCGUCAAAAGAGAUCUGAAGUCUUUACGGUUUAAUUUCUAUUUCUCUACCACUUCAGGAUCUAUGCUAUCUUUGCCAAGUCUCAAGAAAAUGCAGGCUCAAGUUUAAAAAGUUUAUCACCGUGGGAUCUUUAUGAGCAAGAUUUAUGAUUUACACGUGCCAAACGUGCCUGCCUAACCAACAGGACUGAUUUGAACCUGGAGGGACAUCGCUACCAAGAUGAUAACAGUGUUCAGGAGGAAAAGAUUACCAGCUUGCCUUCCCCUAUUGGUUCCUCCGCUGCAGGAAGCACGACAAAACAUAGAAACCGAAUUUUUGCUGUUGCUGGCAACGCCCAAAUCUUACCUUCCGGCCUGUGUGUCGUUCUUGUGACCCUUUGCGCUGUGCCUCCCCCCACUUGCGCACCCCCCCCACCAACGUCCAUGCAGUUUCCCAGGCAAAAAGACUGGAGUGGCGUGCCAUUUCCUACGGCAGCGGAUCUUUCGCAUCCCCAGACCAGGCUCCAGUCCCCGGCAUGUCCUGCGCUGCAGGCGUCUUCUUUACCGCUCAGCCACCCCGACAACCUGUAGGCUUCACUUCUAAAGAAAUAAAGGGCAUCUGAACUCUCACGCGGCCUCCCGCCUGUUUCUGUGCUGACUUCCUUCUCCUGGAGGGCGGAGACGCCGCCGGGCAGGGGCAGACCAGGGAAGGGCCGGAUUGUAACCAAGCAGGACCCACUGAGGCUUUCCCAGAAGAAACCCCCAGUCAAGUCCUCCACCAGCCUUUUGUCUGUAGGAAAUCUUUCACCAAAUAAUCCAUGUAGGGGCUUCCCUGGUGGUCUGCUGGCUAAGGCUCCACCGGUCAAAUUCGUGGGCUGAAGGUAGGACCCAGGUCGGGGAACAAAGAUCCCUCAUGCCUUCUGGCGAGGUUGGGGGGAAAUCUGGCCCCAGCACACAGAGGCCCAAUGUCGGCAAGGAGAUCUGCAGGGAAGCCAGGAGCAGUUGGAAGGACAGGGUCGUGGGGGCAGGAGGGCUGAGGGCCCUGAGUCCCAGCGGCCCGGAAGGCUGCGAGGUGCCUGCACACGGCACCUUCCGCGGCGCCGGGAGCCUUGAGGCGGCGGCCUCUGCGCAGCGGGGGCGGCGCUUGCGCAGACGGGCUCCCGAGCUCAGC
ensembl:lncRNA